rnacentral:lncRNA from 1 species
GGGAAACGCAUUAAAUAUAAGAGGAGAACAACGACAUAACACCGAAACGUAACACACACAGAAACAGACCAAGCAUCAGACAAAACACCACGAGAAUAACAAAUAUAACAUGAAAACCAAAUACAUGAAUUUGGGAUAGACAAGUACCGUGCCACGUCUUAUCUCAAUAUCUCAAAAAUAAGAGAAAACACAAACGACUCAACGUUAAAAUGCAACACACACAGAAACGAACAAUAAUAUAACAAUGGCCAUCUUCCUGACUUGGUACAGGACACUUUUAAGGGGGAAUAAAAGUGGUGGGUUGAACCUGGUUUUGUGGCAUGCCAAACCUCGCACUUUAAUGGCAAAGUUAAAUAUAACAUUGAAAUGACAAC